rnacentral:lncRNA from 10 species
AAUUAUUUCAAUAUUUAUCCUUUUUGUUGUGUGUUUAUUCUUUAUUACUAAGUAAUACCCCAUUGUAUGAACCUAUACAUUCAUCUUUUGAUAAAUAUUUGAGUUAUUUCCAGUUUGGAGCUAUUAUUACAAUUAAAGUGGCUACAAUAUAUACAAGUCUUUAUGUGGGCACAUGCUUUCAUUUCAUUUGGGUAUAUUCCUAAGAGUGG